rnacentral:rRNA from 1 species
GAUGAACGCUGGCGGCGUGCUUAACACAUGCAAGUCGAACGGUGAAGCAGGAGCUUGCUCUUGUGGAUCAGUGGCGAACGGGUGAGUAACACGUGAGCAACCUGCCCCUGACUCUGGGAUAAGCGCUGGAAACGGCGUCUAAUACUGGAUAUGUGAUGUGACCGCAUGGUCUGCAUCUGGAAAGAAUUUCGGUUGGGGAUGGGCUCGCGGCCUAUCAGCUUGUUGGUGAGGUAAUGGCUCACCAAGGCGUGGACGGGUAGCCGGCAUGAGAGGGUGACCGGCCACACUGGGACUGAGACACGGCCCAGACUCCUACGGGAGGCAGCAGUGGGGAAUAUUGCACAAUGGGCGGAAGCCUGAUGCAGCAACGCCGCGUGGGGGAUGACGGCCUUCGGGUUGUAAACCUCUUUUAGCAGGGAAGAAGCGAAAGUGACGGUACCCGCAGAAAAAGCACCGGCUAACUACGUGCCAGCCGCCGCAGUAA